rnacentral:rRNA from 1 species
CACAUGCAAGUCGAGCGGGACAUGCGACGGAAGCGAAGUUUCGGAUGGAGCGGAAGAUGCAUGUCUAGCGGCGGACGGGUGAGUAACGCGUGAGCAACCUGUCCCUUACAAGGGGAUAACACAGCGAAAGUUGUACUAAUACCGCAUAAGACCACGGGAGGACAUCCUUCAGGGGUCAAAGGAGUAAUCCGGUAAGGGGUGGGCUCGCGUCCGAUUAGAUAGUUGGUGAGGUAACGGCCCCACCAAGUCGACGAUCGGUAGCCGACCUGAGAGGGUGAUCGGCCACAUUGGGACUGAGACACGGCCCAAACUCCUACGGGAGGCAGCAGUGGGGAAUAUUGGGCAAUGGGGGGAACCCUGACCCAGCAACGCCGCGUGAGGGAAGAAGGUUUUCGGAUCGUAAACCUCUGUCCUUGGUGAAGAGAGAGAGACGGUAGCCAAGGAGGAAGCCCCGGCUAACUACGUGCCAGCCGCUGC